rnacentral:misc_RNA from 1 species
GAUGAAGAACGCAGCGAAAUGCGAUAAGUAGUGUGAAUUGCAGAAUUCAGUGAAUCAUCGAAUCUUUGAACGCGCAUUGCGCCCUUUGGUAUUCCUUAGGGCAUGCCUGUUCGAGCGUCAUUUAAACCUUCAAGCUCAGCUUGGUGUUGGGUGACUGUCCGCUUCACCGCGGACUCGCCUCAAAAUUAUUGGCGGCCGGUACAUUGGCUUCGAGCGCAGCAGAAACGCGAACUCGGGCCCGUCGUAUUGGCUCCCAGAAGCUAUCUUCACAAUUUUGACCUCGGAUCAGGUAGGGAUACCCGCUGAACUUAAGCAUAUCAAUAAGCGGAGGA